rnacentral:rRNA from 1 species
GCGGCGUGCUUAAUACAUGCAAGUCGAACGAGAAACCCCGACUUCGGUUGGGGGAGUAAAGUGGCGAACGGGUGAGUAACACGUGGAAAAUCUACCCUUGUGUCUGGGAUAAUCCUUCGAAAGGGGGUCUAAUACCGGAUAACAUCCCGAAGUGGCAUCACUUUGGGAUCAAAGGCGGGGCAACCUGCCGCGUGAGGAUGGUUCCGCGCUCCAUUAGCUUGUUGGUGAGGUAACGGCUCACCAAGGCUGCGAUGGAUAGCCGGCCUGAGAGGGCGAUCGGCCACACUGGGACUGAGAUACGGCCCAGACUCCUACGGGAGGCAGCAGUAGGGAAUAUUGCGCAAUGGACGCAAGUCUGACGCAGCAACGCCGCGUGGGUGAUGAAGCAUCUUGGUGUGUAAAACCCUGUCAGUGGGGAAGAAACGCAUGGGUAGUAACUGGCCUGUGCCUGACGGUACCCACAGAGGAAGUCCCGGCUAACUCCGUGCCAGCAGCCGCGGUAAUACGGGGGGGACGAGCGUUGUUCGGAUUUACUGGGCGUAAAGGGCGCGUAGGCGGACCUUCAAGUCGGGUGUGAAAUCUGUUGGCUUAACUGACAGCCUGCAUUCGAUACUGUUGGCCUUGAGUACAGGAGAGGAGAGCGGAAUUCCAGGUGUAGCGGUGAAAUGCGUAGAUAUCUGGAAGAACACCAGUAGCGAAGGCGGCUCUCUGGACUGAUACUGACGCUAAAGCGCGAAGGCUUGGGUAGCAAACAGGAUUAGAUACCCUGGUAGUCCAAGCGGUAAACGAUGGGUACUAGG